rnacentral:rRNA from 1 species
GGGUCAGUAGGUUGGUCGUGCCACCGGUACGUACUGGUCUCACUGAUUCCUCCUUCCUGAAGAACCGUAAUGCCAUUAAUUUGGUGUUGCGGGGAAACAGGACUGUUACUUUGAAUAAAUUAGAGUGUUUAAAGCAAGCUAACGCUUGAAUGCAUUAGCAGGGAAUAAUGAAAUAGGACGAUCGAUCCUAUUUUGUUGGUUUCUAGGAUUGACGUA